AGGGAUCGAGAAAGAGAGAUAAGGAAGAUCGAAGGUUGAGGAAUCACAUCCUUGAUGCAAGAGUAAAGGUAUCACAUCCUUUUGAUGCAAGAGUAAAGGUAUCACAUCCUUGAUGCCUUUCUUGACCUACUUUUUUAUAUAAUAAAAAACUCAUUCACACUUUAUAUUAGUCCACAAACUUACAUGGUAUACAUUAAUAACUAAAUCUACUCCUAAUGCUGCCUUAUUAAUAGACAACAAUUGCAUCAAAAUGCAUAGAUUACCUUCCUAAAAAAGCAUUAGUUGGCUAGGUAUUCUGAUGCAGUAUUCUCAUAUAUUAAAUAGUGGGCAUAUGACUGCCCUUUCUCUCUUUUCCACCAUUUUCUUCUUCUUGAACACCAUCUUUACUCUUCAAUCUAUACACUCUAUCAGCAGCAGUACUGCUGGUGAUGGCUUUUCGGUUCGUCUGAUCCACCAUGACUCACCUCUAUCCCCAUCAUACAAUCAUUCCAUGACUGCCUAUGAUCGUAUACAAGCUGCUGCUUAUCGUUCUGUCUUGCGUCUUAACCACGUCCACUCACUCACCACCACCUUUUCAUCCUCAGAACAAGAUAUCUCUUCUAGAAUAGUCCCUGAAAAUGGUGAGUACAUAGUGACUUUCUCUGUGGGCACUCCCCCUACCCAAGUACAUGCCUUCAUGGACAUUGGAAGUGAGGUCAUUUGGGUCAAAUGCUCCCCUGUCUUCAACCCUGCAAAAUCCUCCUCUUAUGGUCACCAUCCGUGUGAUUCCCUUGCCUGUGAGGUUUUAGGGGUAGGCAGGAGAACCUGCGCAGAGUUUCUUGACCCUUGCUACUAUAGGGUAAGAUAUGGAGAUGGUUCCACAACGGAGGGAACUCUGUCCCAUGACAAGUUUGCAUUUGAAGACCCUGAGAGGAACCUUGUGGAUGUUGGUCACUUGGAUUUUGGUUGUUCUGACUACUCUUCAUGGCAUUUUGUUGGGAAUGAAUCAGGUGCUCUCGGCUUGAGCCGACAGCCCCUGUCCUUAAUUUCUCAACUAGACAUAAAAAAGUUCUCAUACUGCAUGGUGCUCCCGAACAACGAGGGAUUGGGAAGCAGGAUGUAUUUUGGAUCAGAGGCAGUGAUCUCUGGUGGGCGAACUCCAUUUCUGGAGGGAGAGGAUCGGUAUUACUAUGUCACUCUUAUUGGAAUUAGCACUGGUGACCAAAAUGUACCUCUCCCUGUUGGGAUUUUUAACAGGACAAGUGAUGGGGAAGGAGGGUUUAUGAUUGAUUCAGGCACAACUUACACAUUUCUUAGAUCAGAAGCAUAUGAUGCAUUGAUCAAGGCACUGAACGAAGCCAUAGAUUUGCCACAAAGGAGAGGACCAAGCGAAUGGUUUGAGUUGUGUUUUGAAGGAAGUUUUGAGGACUUGGAAUCUGCAGCACCUGAUGUGACAUUCAUUUUUGAUGGUGCAGAAGUCAUUCUAAUGAAACAAACUACUUACAUUGAAGCAAAGAAGGGGCUUUGGUGCCUUGCCAUGGUGAGGUCCAAUGAAAAGUUGUCCAUAUUUGGAAAUGUCCAGCAACAGAACUAUUUUGUUGGUUUUGACCUUGAAGAACAAGUGGUUUCUUUUGCUCCAGUUGACGACUGUGCUACCUUCCAAUAGGUAGUGGCCUAACCAAAUUCAACAAUAUUUCUCAUCUUUCAAGACUUUUAAUCAGAAAAAAAAAAAAAAAAAAUUGCUUGGAACUCUUUUUAUCAACCUUUGAUUUCACCCUUAGGAAAACAGAAGCCACAAAAUCAAAGACCUCUCUCUCUCUCUCUCUCUCUCUCUCUCUCUCUCUCUCUCUCUCUCUCUCUCUCUCUGUGUAUAUACACUUUGUGAACACAAGAAAGUCCCCACUAACCCAACUUUUUAUUUUCCUUCCAAUUAAUGUUUGAAAUUGAAGAUACUCUUCAACUUUUUCAUGAGAGAUUAUGUCAUAAUGAUCUAAUUGCUUCCAUGUCGACUUUUGAAAGCAAUUGACAACAAUAUAAGUAGUUUCAGAAAUACUAUAGUGGACAAAUAAUAUUUCAGAAGAUAUAUAAUAUUGGUGAAAGAAAUCAAAUUUCUUUAUUAUGCACACACCAAACUAGCUAGUACUUGACAUAGAGAAUAAAAAUCGGGCUCUACCUCUGUUAUAGGUAUUGCAAAUUAUAUGGUGCAGUGCAUGCCAUUAUUCUACUUAGACCUCCUGUGGAGGCCUAAGGCAGCAAGCACAACUAGGUACAUAAAUGCAAGAGAUCCAAGCAUGGACAGGACUAUUGCAGCUGCCGCAUGGUUACAAAAUCGCCCGAACACGUUGCAGACCUU
rnacentral:lncRNA from 1 species